UGAAGGGGGUGGGAGGGGGGGUCUUUAGCAGUGGGGCUUCCUCCACAUUUUAUCCUCUGAGCAACUACAAAAAGCAAUCUGUUAAUAACCAACUGACACGCCUCGAAGGGCUAAAUAUUUGGACAAUCGGGAAAUUCAAAGUAUACGUAUCAAGCUGUAGAAGCUCCCAAAUGAUGCAAUAACACGUUUCCACUGUGGAGGGUGGAGCUUCGCCACGUGGCUCAGAUAUUUCCGGUACAUUUGGUAAGAACAAUGCCGGUGCACUCCAAAUCAUAAAUGUAUUUAAAUAAACAUGUUGGUCCCUCAUUGGAUCAAAAUACCUAAAAACUGGACCUGCCGUCCUUUACAUACUCGGUAUUAAUGGGCUGAGAGGCUCUGUGAUGGCAGCUGUGGCUAAUCAUAAAAAUAUGUUUACAUUCUUGUGGGUUCUUGUUAAAUAGUUUUCUUGCUGAUCAUCACGUACAAUAUCCUUUCCCUCUUCAUAUAAUUUACAACUGUUACAUGUAAAUGUGACUUUAAAUGAACGGAAGUUUCCCUCAAUCUCCUUCUAAUAGUCAACAGACAGGGAAGAAUUAUGUAUCACUCUGUCCACUUACUCUAUACGGAGUCUUUAUUGUGCUUCGGCUCACAGCCAGAAUUAUAUCAUCUAGCCAAUAGCCUUAUUCCACUAACCCAUUGCAUUAGCAUUUCAUUUGAUUUUAUUUCUUUACUUGUGCACCGCUGUCUUGUCUAUUGUUACACUGUCUACUGCCUCGCACCAACCGCCAAGACAAAUUCCUUGUAUAUUUGACAUAUUUUGGCAAUAAAUGUUUCCUGAUUCCUGAUCUCUCUGACCGGAGAAAAUAAAAUCAACUACUUCCUACAGGGAGGUCUCGAGCAAAGAGUCAGAGUUGAAGGAGCGGAUUCAUUUUCACGACACUUCUUUAUAAAAGGAGGGACAUGAUGUCCCUUUGACUUAAUCAAUCAGAAACAAGAACAAAGAGAACUAGAAAAGGCAUUUCCUGCUGAAAAUGCGUUGGAAUGCAAAAAGCUGAAAGCUGCACUGAAUAUUUGAAAAUAGCUGAAAAUACAGAAAGUUGAAGGGAAUUUGAAUACAUUUGCUGAAUAUUUAAAAAUAGCUGAAAAUACAGAAAGUUGAAGGGAAUUUGAGUACAUUUGCUGAAUAUUUGAAAAUAGCUGAAAAUACAGAAAGUUGAAGGGAAUUUGAAUACAUUUGCUGAAAAUAUUAGAAAAGCUGAAAUUAAUUUGAAAUAGCUGAAAAUACAGAAAUGGGAGAAGCUGAAAGGAAUUUCAAUAGAUUUGCUGAAAAAGCAGAAAUGAAAACAGCUGAAAUAAAUGUGAAAUAUUGCAAGACAGAAGUUGCAGGAGCUUGAAUGAAUUUUAAAAAGUACAGAAAUAACAAAAGCUGAGAUGAAUAAAAAGAGGUUUAAAAUUGUUUGUAGUAUUGUUAGUUGUAAUUUGGGUAUUAGUACUAGCAGUAGAAGUCGGUUUAGUAUCAAUAGCAGUAGAAACAGCUGGAAUACUGAUACUAUUAGCCAUAGUAGUAUUUGUAAUAACAUUAGUAGUAGUUGUAUUAAUAGCAGUAGAAAUACUAGUAGUAUGGUAGUAGAAGUAUCAGUUGUAGUUCUACUAGAAGUACUAGUAAUAUUCGUAGUGGUUAUAGUAGUAUUUGAAAGAGCAAUGCGUAUUUCAACGAAACCGCUUCAUGGUUAAGGUACAGAUAAUCAUUGAGGC
ensembl:lncRNA